rnacentral:rRNA from 1 species
UACGUAGGUGGCAAGCGUUGUCCGGAAUUAUUGGGCGUAAAGCGCUCGCAGGCGGUCCUUUAAGUCUGAUGUGAAAGCCCACGGCUCAACCGUGGAGGGUCAUUGGAAACUGGGGGACUUGAGUACAGAAGAGGAAAGCGGAAUUCCACGUGUAGCGGUGAAAUGCGUAGAGAUGUGGAGGAACACCAGUGGCGAAGGCGGCUUUCUGGUCUGUAACUGACGCUGAGGAGCGAAAGCGUGGGGAGCAAACAGG